UCCAGUGAGUGUUUCACUCUUCCCAUGCUUUGUGAGGUCUUCCAGGGUCUUCGGGGCGUGGCUUGAAGAGGAAGGGGCUGAAACCCCACCCAUCCAUCUGGCCAAGUGCAAGCAGGAAACCAGCAUGGUCAAGAUCCAAAGGCAUGGGUUAUCCCUGAUGGAGGCCUUGGUCCUAAGCUCUUCACAAGGAGGUUCUAAUUCAGGCUGGGACUGGCCAGAUGAAGCCAUGAGUACAACCCCACUGGUUGGAUCAGAUUGGCAAGGCUGCUGGAGAGAGCAGUCUGUGGCUGGAAAACUCUGUUUCAUCUAAUUAAGGACUCUCCACCAGGAGCCCCUGCCCAAUUUCAUCAGUACUUGGCUCUAGCAAGAGACUUUCCAGUGCACUUGGAUUUCAGUAUCCCUCUACCCAGGAGACACAGUGACCCAACAAGGGGAGGCCUGUUGUCCCUCUCCUAUAUGCUGUUUAGAGUGGAAGUGUUUAGCCUCCAGAGCACUGAAUUGGAGGUGGGACAUGGAGGCAGUCCUACCAGGACAGACAGCACCAGGCCCAACCAGGAUGGGGCUGCUCCCCAGAGGACCGAAUAGACCUGUUGCUCUUUUUGGAGAAUGGGCAUAGAGUUUACCCUGCAGUGAGUGAGGACUCAUUCAAGGACUUUAUCAAAGUGACCAAAGCUUUGAAGUCUUACUCUGCCUUCCCCAAGGCCCAAGAGACAAAUGCUUGCUGAGCAAGGUCUCAUGGCCAUGCUGGUCUCUCCCAGGUGGCCUACUCUCCUCUCAGCCAACCAAGAAGAGAGAAGCCUACGAGAUAAGCAGCAUCUGGGCACAGGGACGUACAGGGAUAAUGAUGACAAUGACAUUUGACAUGAGGCCGUGCAUGUGGACAUCAUCAGAGGGCAGUAGACAUCUUGGUGUUAUAAAAUGCUGUGUUCCUUGGGCCAGAGAGACAGUUCAGUGAGUGAAGGCACUUGUAGUUAAGCCCGUCAACCUGAGUUCAAUCCCCAGGAGCCAGAUUUUAGGUUUUGAUAAUGGGUUUAGGAACUGUGGCUUCUGUAAUGAUAGUCCUCGGGCAGUCUGAAAGACAGUCAUUAAACUGAACACUCUUCUUAGCCAAUCAGAAUUUGUCAUCAAAGGCAAGGAGACAACAACUGAGUAUCUGGUGAGAAUGUGUUCCUGUUCUCAGGAUUCCAAAAGCAGGUGUGACUCCUUAGGUAGCAGACCGACUCAUGAUGAGCAGGAGCCACAGGCGUGUGUACUGUGAGGCCCAGGCCAGUGGGUCAUCCUGGGAUCUGCUCUCACCAGCCAUCAGCAGUCUCCUAUGGGAUUCUUCACUCUGGGCUUUGGCUUCACCUGGCAUUUGGGGAUGAUGAACCUUGCCCUACUGUCUUUCAGGAAUACAAGAAAAAGUAAACAAUUACUAGUGUUUUAAAGAAUGUGCUAAGCAAAUGUGAUUGAUCAGAUUAGUAACCAGAUUGCUACUUGAGAAUGUUGAGUCACUUCAGUUAACUCCUUCUAGAAGCAUAAAUGACAAUUUGGUCACAUAACAUGUCAAUGCUUGCACUUGCUGUUUUGUGUCUAAUGAAAACUGAGAACUCAUCAGCUCUACUAAGGUCAAUGCUUAUACCAUGGUAGUUUUCUUUUUUUUUAUGUUCUAUAUUCUUUGUUUACAUUCUAAAAGCUUUCCCCUUUCCCAGUCCCCCCCCCCCAUAUGUCCCAUGUCCCAUAAGUCCUCUUCUUUCCAUCCGUUCUCCUAACUUUCCCCCUCCCUUUUCUCUGUCCUGGUACUCCCCUACAAUUCUGGAUCAAGCCUUUCCAGGAUUAGGGCCCUCUUCUUCCUUCUUCAUGGGAAUCAUUUGAUAUGCUAAUUGCAUCUUCAGUAUAAAGAGCUUCAGGGCUAAUUAAUAUCCACUUAUCAAUGAUUGCAUUCCAUGUGUAUUCUUUUGUGAUUGCGUUAGUCUAUCAACAAAGAAUAUACUUAAAUAAAGAUUUAUCUGUAUCAUGAAAUAAUGUUAUAUACACAUUAAAUACCUUUUAUAGAUUAUAAGUAAAAAUCAAAUUGCUAAUA